rnacentral:rRNA from 1 species
AGCAGUCGCCACGGGAAUACGUAGGUGGCAAGCGUUGUCCGGAAUUAUUGGGCGUAAAGGGCUCGCAGGCGGUUUCUUAAGUCUGAUGUGAAAGCCCCCGGCUCAACCGGGGAGGGUCAUUGGAAACUGGGAAACUUGAGUGCAGAAGAGGAGAGUGGAAUUCCACGUGUAGCGGUGAAAUGCGUAGAGAUGUGGAGGAACACCAGUGGCGAAGGCGACUCUCUGGUCUGUAACUGACGCUGAGGAGCGAAAGCGUGGGGAGUGAACAGGAUUAGAUACCCGCGUAGUCCCUGUCUCUUAUAC